UUACGGCUAUAUCACGUUGAAACAUUGAUUCCCGUACGAUCACCAACGUUAAGCAACAUCGAGUCUGGUCAGUACCUAGGUGGGUAACCUCUUGGGAAUACCAGGCGC